GCAGAGUAGAAUGUUAUGCGUUAAGUGCCGGGUGUACAGGGAGUUGACAUGCGGACGAAGAGAUAACUCGCGGUGUGACAUUCGCAUCCCGCUGC
rnacentral:ncRNA from 1 species